rnacentral:rRNA from 1 species
GUGGCGGACGGGUGAGUAACGCGUGAGAAUCUGCCCUCAGGAGGGGGAUAACGGUUGGAAACGACCGCUAAUACCCCAUAUGCCGAGAGGUGAAAUGAAAUUCGCCUGAGGAUGAGCUCGCGUCUGAUUAGCUAGUUGGUAGGGUAAAGGCCUACCAAGGCAUUGAUCAGUAGCUGGUCUGAGAGGAUGAUCAGCCACACUGGGACUGAGACACGGCCCAGACUCCUACGGGAGGCAGCAGUGGGGAAUUUUCCGCAAUGGGCGCAAGCCUGACGGAGCAACGCCGCGUGAGGGAUGAAGGCCUCUGGGCUGUAAACCUCUUUUAUCAAGGAAGAAGAACUGACGGUACUUGAUGAAUAAGCCACGGCUAAUUCCGUGCCAGCAGCCGCGGUAAUACGGGAGUGGCAAGCGUUAUCCGGAAUUAUUGGGCGUAAAGCGUCCGCAGGCGGUUUUACAAGUCUGUCGUUAAAGCGUGGAGCUCAACUCCAUUUCAGCGAUGGAAACUGUAAGACUCGAGUGUGGUAGGGGCAGAGGGAAUUCCCGGUGUAGCGGUGAAAUGCGUAGAUAUCGGGAAGAACACCAGUGGCGAAAGCGCUCUGCUGGGCCAUAACUGACGCUCAUGGACGAAAGCCAGGGGAGCGAAAGGGAUUAGAUACCCCUGUAGUCCACGCCGUAAACGAUGGGCACUAGUUGUGGAAACCUUCCACGGUUUCUGCGACGCAGCUAACGCAUUAAGUGCCCCGCCUGGGGAGUACGAUCGCAAGAUUAAAACUCAAAGGAAUUGACGGGGCCCCGCACAAGCAGC